ACAUGCUUCCUUAUAUCCCCAUAUGAAUACUGCUGUUAUGGAAUGUAAGGAAGUGUGUGG
ensembl:miRNA